CCUACGGGUGGCAGCAGUGAGGAAUAUUGGUCAAUGGGCGAGAGCCUGAACCAGCCAAGUCGCGUGAAGGAUGAAGGAUCUAUGGUUUGUAAACUUCUGUUAUAGGGGAAGAAAGUGAGGAACGUGUUCCUUUUUGUAUGUACCAUAUGAAUAAGCAUCGGCUAACUCCGUGCCAGCAGCCGCGGUAAUACGGAGGAUGCGAGCGUUAUCCGGAUUGAUUGGGUUUAAAGGGUGCGUAGGUGGUUAAUUAAGUCAGCGGGGAAAGUUUGUGGCUCAACCAUAAAAUUGCCGUUGAAACGGGUUGCCUUGAUUAUCUUUGCGGUAGGCGGAAUGCGUGGUGUAGCGG
rnacentral:rRNA from 1 species